GCAGCGCCUGCGCGCCGUCGUCGAAACCCGUGCUAGCCGUCAAUGCCAUUCGUCGCGCACGCGUGUUCGAUACAAGACCGGUCGGGUGCACCACGUGCUUGCACAACUCAAAUCCGAUCCCGUUCAGGUUGAUUGAUUUAUAGUUUA